rnacentral:rRNA from 1 species
UACGUAGGGGGCAAGCGUUGUCCGGAUUUAUUGGGCGUAAAGAGCGUGUAGGCGGCCAUACAGGUCAGCUGUGAAAACUCGAGGCUCAACCUCGAGACGCCGGUGGAAACCGUCUGGCUAGAGUCCGGAAGAGGAGAGUGGAAUUCCUGGUGUAGCGGUGAAAUGCGCAGAUAUCAGGAAGAACACCCGUGGCUAAGGCGGCUCUCUAGUACGGUACUGACGCUGAGACGCGAAAGCGUGGGGAGCGAACAGG